rnacentral:rRNA from 1 species
AUUGAACGCUGGCGGCACGCCUAACACAUGCAAGUCGAGCGGCAGCGAGACUAGUAGCAAUACUAGUUGUCGGCGAGCGGCGGACGGGUGAGUAACACGUAGGAAUCUGCCCUUAAGCGGGGGAUAACCAAGGGAAACUUUGGCUAAUACCGCAUAAUCUCGAGAGAGCAAAGCUGCCCGCAAGGGUGGCACUUGAGGAGGAGCCUGCGUCCGAUUAGCUAGUUGGUGGGGUAAUGGCCUACCAAGGCGAUGAUCGGUAACUGGGCUGAGAGGACGCCCAGGCACACUGGGACUGGGACACGGCCCCGACUCCUACGGGAGGCAGCAGUGGGGAAUAGUGGACAAUGGGGGCAACCCUGAUCCAGCGAUGCCGCGUGAGUGAAGAAGGCAUUCGGGUCGUAAAGCUCUUUAGGUUGGGAAGAAGGGUAUUGGCUGAAUAAUCCAGUACUUUGACGGUACCGACAGAAUAAGCACCGGCAAACUCUGUGCCAGCCGCCGCGGUAAAAC